UACAGAGGUCUCAAGCGUUGUUCGGAUUCAUUGGGCGUAAAGAGCUCGUAGGCGGUUCAGUAAGUCGGGUGUGAAAGCUCCGAGCUCAACUCGGAGAGGCCACCCGAUACUGCUGUGACUUGAGUCCAGUAGAGGAGCGUGGAAUUCCUGGUGUAGCGGUGAAAUGCGCAGAUAUCAGGAGGAACACCAGCAGCGAAGGCGGCGCUCUGGGCUGGAACUGACGCUGAGGAGCGAAAGCGUGGGUAGCAAACAGG
rnacentral:rRNA from 1 species